AGGUAAGGGCAGUUUUAGACCCUGUUUAUAUGUUUUCUGAAGGGUGAAAGGAAGGAGAAGCAUGCUUCGGUUAUGCAUGGUAGUUUUUGAUGAUUUAUGCAUGUAUACAUGUUUAUGUGUUAUGUUUGUUUUGUUGUUUGGGGUUAUUAGAUAGUUUUGGACCCCUGUGGACAUAUACAUGAGUAUAUGUGAGCGGAGUAGAGGAGGUAGGCAUGUUUGGAGAGCUUGAAGGGAAGGAGGAGAUGGUUUGCCGUUGAAGCUGAG
rnacentral:lncRNA from 1 species